CGAGCACGUGGUGUGCUCCGCGCCGUCCGGGCCACCUCCGCCCGCUGUGGGCGCGCGAGCGGCCCGGCGGCGGGUGCGGGCCCGGCGGCCGCGGGCUGCCCGACAACCUGUCGACACCGGCUCGCAGCUGUCGGACCCUGGGCUCUGCUGUUUUCCAAGCCGAGCUGUGACUGCUCUUUCAGGAAGACGUCUCGGCGCCUGAUUCUCCGCCGUUGGGGCGGCGGGGCCGGGGCUGGGCGGGUGACAGCCGGUGGGGGGGGGGUGGAGGGGGACGGCCCUCUCCUCCCCACCCCCGCCCCCAAGGCCGGCGCUGCCUUGGCCUCCCCCGGACCCCUGGGCAGAAGUGCACCCCGGUGCCCGGGCUGCGCCACCGAGCCUGGCGUGGCGUGACACCCGCGUGGCCCCCGCCCGGCAGUGACCGGCCUCGCUGCACCUGGAGAAGCGGGAAGCGGCCGAGCUCUGCGGGCUUCUCCGUUCGUGAAAACUUUGAGAAAGGGCAGCUGAGAAGCCAGUUCAAGGGGACAAACAGAUGCCAUCCACAGUGACAGGUGCGCACAGGCGGGAAGCAAACUUGCGGGAAGAGCGCCGGCCCGAGGCGGCGGCGCCGAGAACCCGGGGACAGGCCGUCCCUCCUCCCCUGCCCGGCCUCUUCAUCCUCGGCCCCUCGGGAAGAACAAGCAGCGAACCGCUGCGGGAUGGCUCCAGGUCCGCGCGCGGCCCUCCUGGCCUCCCGGUGCACGGGACGGGUCCGCCAGCCCGCGUCUGCCACACGCUCGCCGGCUCCGUCCUGGCGUCCCGCGUAGGGAGUUGCCCAGGGUGCUCGCCUCCGUUCCCGGGACACUUUUCGUCCUGUCUCCUAUGAAGCAGCCGGAGCCUGGUGCGCACUCCCCGCUGUGGCGCACGGACACACUGGACCCCACAGCAAUUUCACCCCAACACUUGGGGCCCACCACUUCCGCCUGCCAGACCUCUCUCUCCUGCAUCCCAAACAAACGGAUGGGCCAGCCCCACUACUGUCUUGUUUGGCAAACUCCAGUGUCACAUUUCAGGCCGACAGGACCCAGGAAGCCGCCCCGCUCGGCGACGGCGAGGCGAGUGGCAAGCAGUCCCAGGCAGCGGCCGAGAAGCGCCCAGGACCGCAGGGCCGUAACCGGGUGCCCUUGGGCGCCAGGCGGGGACCGGAGCGGGGCGGCUGCGGCGAUCCCCGUGCCCUGGGGGCCUGGCCUGCUCUCUGCUGCCGCGUCAGGGCCAGGCCCGCGCCGGGUCAAGAGCGGCACCUGUGAGCGCCCCGAAAGCGAGGGCCUGGGGACCUCGCUGCGGAUGCGCUGCGGUGGGACCAGAGCGGGGCUGGCGGGAGGCGACUCCAGGAAAACCCGGGAAAGAAAACACCCGGAAGGCGCCCCGGGAUGGUCUGAAGCUCGCAGCAGUGCCCGCAGAGCAGGUGCCGGGAUGCAGCCGGGGCUCGGGUCCCGGACUGUGGCGGCGGGAGACCAGCGAGACCAGCGGCCCAGCGCGCGGAGCUCCGGGACCGGCGGCAGGAGGAGAAGAAGGGCCCGCAGUCACCUGGCCUGGCGUGCGAUGUCGCCAUCCCCGAGCGUCGGAGGAAGUGAAUUACAUGCGUGUGCACACACGUAAAUAUUUUAUAAGCCUCCCCUUAAUUAACCAAAUCAUUUCCAUUAUGCCUCCAAUGUGAUCAACAGCAGCGGUGUGAGGGUUUUCAGGGCUUAUAAUUCGAUGUCACCAGACGGUCGCUCGGGGGCAGAGGUACAAUCGCGGAGCCAGCUGCACUUGUAUUUAUUUGUUUUUCUACCGUGUUCCUGUAGGGCUCCAUUAUGCAGUUUUUAAUUAGUUUGUGUUUGUAUUUCACCCGUCCCAAAUCAAUGCCAUCCCGGAGCAAGGCGAUGUAAAUUCUCGCAGUACAGGUGUAGCUGCUGGCUUGGGAACACUCGGAAACACGCGUCUGACAAAUGAGAGCGGGCGCCACACAGCCCACUGUCGGCUCCUGGCAGCCAAGAGGCGCAGACCAAAGCCAGCGGGGACUUGUGCGCCCCUGUGAGCGCCAAGCCCGCGUGCUGGGUUCCUAAUUCCAGUAGAGGGAGCCGCACAGAGCAAGGCGUGGGGGGCAAAGUGACUUUUCAUUUUGCCCGAGUCCUGCGGUCCUUGGGCCUAGUGGGCGAGGCUGGAGCCCGCGUGCAAUUAUCCUAGCUCCCCCCGGAAGAUCACUGUGGCACCUGUCGGGUUCCGUGGAGCCUUUUAACAGGACCCAAGGCAGACAGCCCGAAUUUCUGGAAUCUCCAGGCAUGAGGACCGCCUCCCCACACCCCCGCCCCCUUGUGCUGGCUGUCUCUUCCUUCUUGAAAUGACCUCUGUGGAGUGCCUGUAAAUCUAUCCCUCCAGCCACGGGGGAAUUCUUUUAAAGCUUUCUUUUUUGUCAGGAAUAAGAGAUUGUUCAUCUUUAACUAGACCACAUAGAAAUUAUGAUUCAACAGCAGUGUGUAUUUAAUUAGAGUAAUCUCACUUGAAUUUAAUUACCUAAUGAAUUAUUUGUUUAAAAGGUAGAAUGUCUUGUUUGCCAAGUGCGGUGCAGACCUCCGAUAAGAACUUCUGUUAUAAGGACAUUACAGCUUAAAAGCAGUCAUGUGUUAAGGUUUAUAUUUUAACUCCUUGAGUGUGUAACUGUUAACUGUUAACGUGCUACUCGCACAAAAGCUCUGAUACGGAAGGGUGCCGGGAGAGCACGCACAGAUUCUGUUCUGUGCCCACAUCCUUUUGGAAAUUGGCAUCCUCUACCUUGCCACCUGAGCCUAUUUUUAAACUUCCUGCAUUUUGCUUUCAGUGACACUUUCCUUUUUUCUGCUGCACGAUGACAGCUGUCUAUUAGAGGGCUCAUUUUAUGAUUAGUAUUUGCAAUGAAGGGCACAUCCUUCAGCAAAACUCCCGCCCAGCUCCACUGUGUCCCAGAGGCACCCACAAUAGCAGCAGGAAGCCUUUCUGGGCUCAUCAAACCUCAUGGGAAUGGAAGGUACCAAGGCCCAGACUUUGACCUUAACCCUUCAUUCCUAAACCAUGGAAGAAUCUCCUUGCCUCUUGGUUUCCAAAAGCAAGAGCCCAGAACUCUAGGCCACGCCACCCUUUCUGGGAGGCUCACAAGUUGACUCGUCUCUCGGUAAUGCUAACGAUUUUUGCAGCUAAUGCCAAGUUCGAAAUCCCAGCCAAGGGAGGAGGGUGACGUGCUGGAAGUCUAACAUGAUUUCUGUGUUUUUCUGUGGCUAAGUGACUACAGGAGCAGACUGCUUCUCCUCCUCUAUCCCGUGUGAUGGACAGAAUCGUCUGUCCCUGUGUGAUGGAAUUUCAGCAGAGGAAUGAAUGGAUAGGGUGAGGGAGGCAGCAGGAAAUGUUUCGCCCACUCACUGAAGAGAGACCAGGAAAUAAGAACGCCUGAAAUCUGCUGGAUUGAAUUCCACUGUCAUUUUCAUUAAUAUUUCAUCAAUCAAAUAAUUUACUUUAAUUGCAGAUUCGGGCACUAUUAUCACAUAAAUAUUAAAUAGUAUUAAUAUAGUGUCCAUCUAAGUAAGAAUGAGCUUAUAAGAAAGUACAACACGUUGAUAAGAAUUGUGAAUUUCUUGUUUCUUUCCUGUAUCCCUGAUGUGUAUCAUAACUGUGCAUUUUGCAGCUGGGUGUCCCAACAACCAAUAGCGGUUAAAUUGUAAUAUAAAUUUGGGACUCCUGCGUGGCUCAGUCGAUGAAGCGUCCGACCCUGGCUCAGGUCAUGAUCUCAAGGUUCGUGAGUUUGAGCCCCGCGUCGGGCUCUGUGCUGACAGCUCAGAGCCUGGAGCCUGCUUCGGAUUCUGUGUCCCCCUCUCUGUCUGCCCCUCCCUCACUCGCACUCUGUCCCUCUCUGUCUCUCAAAAAUAAACAUUAAAAAAAUUACA
ensembl:lncRNA